rnacentral:rRNA from 1 species
CAAUAACUUUCUAGUGGCGAACGGGUGAGUAACGCGUGGACAACCAACCUUAUAGUGGGGGACAACACUUCGAAAGGAGUGCUAAUACCGCAUACGCUCUUCUAAUCGCAUGGUUGGAAGAGGAAAGGGGCAAUUGCUCCGCUAUAAGACGGGUCCGCGUCUGAUUAGCUAGUUGGAGGGGUAACGGCCCACCAAGGCGACGAUCAGUAGCCGGUCUGAGAGGAUGAACGGCCACACUGGGACUGAGACACGGCCCAGACUCCUACGGGAGGCAGCAGUGGGGAAUCUUCCGCAAUGGACGAAAGUCUGACGGAGCGACGCCGCGUGAGUGAAGAAGGCCUUCGGGUCGUAAAGCUCUGUCAUCAGGGACGAACGGCCGGUGGAGUGGAAAGCCACCGGAUUGACGGUACCUGAGAAGGAAGCCACGGCUAACUACGUGCCAGCAGCCGCGGUAAUACGUAGGUGGCAAGCGUUGUCCGGAAUUAUUGGGCGUAAAGCGCGCGCAGGUGGGAUCUUAAGUCCAUUUUGAAAGUUCGGAGCUCAACUCCGUGAUGGGAUGGAAACUGGGAUUCUUGAGUACCGGAGAGGAAAGCGGAAUUCCCCGUG